UACGAAGGGGGCUAGCGUUGCUCGGAAUCACUGGGCGUAAAGCGCACGUAGGCGGACUCUUAAGUCGGGGGUGAAAUCCUGGAGCUCAACUCCAGAACUGCCUUCGAUACUGAGAGUCUUGAGUCCGGGAGAGGUGAGUGGAACUGCGAGUGUAGAGGUGAAAUUCGUAGAUAUUCGCAAGAACACCAGUGGCGAAGGCGGCUCACUGGCCCGGUACUGACGCUGAGGUGCGAAAGCCAGGGGAGCAAACGGG
rnacentral:rRNA from 1 species